GCAAGUCGAACGCGAACGCACUUCGGUGCAAGUAGAGUGGCGGACGGGUGAGUAAUGCUUGGGAAUCUGCCUAGUAGUGGGGGAUAACUACCGGAAACGGUAGCUAAUACCGCAUGAGCCCUUCGGGGGAAAGAUUUAUCGCUAUUAGAUGAGCCCAAGUCAGAUUAGCUAGUUGGUGGGGUAAAGGCCUACCAAGGCGACGAUGAGUAGCUGGUCUGAGAGGAUGACC
rnacentral:rRNA from 1 species